UCUGCAAGAGUGUUCAUACUUUGUACUGGUAACCUAGAAUAAACUAAACCACUAUUAGAGUUAUGAUUCAAUACCACACUCACCGGGGUGAAACUUUCAUACUCAAAUCUGUAAACUUCUUAAGUAUCUAUCUUUUGUUAUCUAUCAAUUAUUGCACAAUUAAAUAAUACAAAUACAAGACCCAUUCUUCCUGAAAAAUCUGAACUACCAUUGACAAUGGAGAUUGUUAUAAAACUACAGAUAAUUAAUAAACAGUCUGGUAACAUAAAAACUGCCAGUAUCUUGUCUCCAAAUACCAAGAAAGGAGCAUAUUUCAACUUAAAUACGCCCACAUAUUAUACAACUGACCAAUGGAACAAAUAGUGAACUUGUUAUAUGUGAACACCUCCAGCAUAGACCAUGCGACGCCCCAUUCACCAGUGUGACUCCAAAGUCAAAAGUAGUGUACUCUUAAACAGAAGUAAGUUAAUUGGUCCCAUUUAUUCUCCCUUUCUUUUUGUGCUGGUCCUUGCUGAUAUUUCAGUGCCAUCCUUGAUCGAUCAGUGAGCAGAGAGAGCAUUUAGAUUAGUCAAAGAGUGAGCUCAGAACAGUAGCAAGAGAGCUCUCCUCACGCAAUUCUCUCCCUAUUUAUAGUUGCACUACACAUCAGGGGAGAGGAGCAACACCUGUAGAUCAUCAACUUAGUCUACACUCGUCAGUUCUGCAAUCUGAGAAAUAAAUGAACACAAGGGGGAAAAAAACUGAUUCUGACCAGAGAAUUCACAAUCCAAAAAACUUUGGGACUCCCUUAUAAGAUAAUAUACCAAAACACCUGAUAAAUCACUUCUAUAGGCACAUUAGGAAAAAUGGCAAUAAGGAGCAUAAAGAAAGAUCACUGAGAAUUGAAUGGUUUCCUUCAAAUAAACAUAUAGCCAAGGGAAAAACAUCAUGUUUUGAUUGGAUUCUUUUUACCGGUGUUGAUACUGAUGGUGUAUCCCAGAUUUCUUUUUUGAGAGAGAACAUAGGAAACAAAACUAAGACAUCCUACCAUCAUAAAAGUAAACUUUUUAUUCUCCUUUUUCUAGCAUAAUCGGAUAUGCAGUUUGUCUAUUAGCCUGGUUCCAACUUUAAUAUCGUAUGGAACAUCUAGGAAACGCAAUGUUUUUUGCUUGGCUAUUCUAUAGAUAUAUUACCAGUUAACUGAUCAAUUAUGUAAAGCAUCGAUUCCUCGGUCACAUUGCUGCUGCAUGAUCUGAAGAAAUAAACGCAGAGUGAUGGGGCUCACCUUGCUGCUGCUGCCUGACAUAGCUUGGCCUUGGGGAGCCACUGGCCACGGGCUUGGAGGAGGAUGGCAGGGGCGCUGGUGAUGUGGUCGCCGUGGAAC
rnacentral:lncRNA from 1 species